ensembl:processed_transcript
AACCCGUCCUUGAACCAAUCCUGAGUUUGUUGCAAGGUGACGGCGUCGCGGAUCACGUUCUCCAGGAACACCUUCAGCACACCGCGGGUCUCCUCGUAGAUGAGGCCGGAGAUGCGCUUCACUCCUCCGCGCCGGGCCAGGCGGCGGAUGGCGGGCUUGGUGAUGCCCUGGAUGUUAUCGCGCAGAACUUUGCGGUGGCGCUUAGCGCCUCCUUUACCAAGCCCCUUUCCGCCUUUACCACGACCAGACAUGGCUAAGCUCUUAAAGGCUUUCAGCAGCAAACUGAUGGGCUAACCGAACGGUGUGUAAUUAUAGGCUCAUAUCGGACCUGGUUGAGAACUUCAAGUGGGCGGGGACCAAAAGGCCGCCAAAGGCUUCUUUUGCUCCGCCUGUUUCAAGGCGGUGACCCAGGCAGGAGUAGUGUGUCCAGCACAUAAAGACGUCAUGGAGUCCCCGAGGUUUCCCCAGAUUUGAGUAUACUGCUUUUAAUUAUAUGUUAUAUUGUUCUAUAAGGAUUUUAGGAAGGACUUACAUUUUUAUGGACCACUACCUGGAGGAUUAAAAGAAAUACCACUGUGAAGUAUUUAGGUUUAAAGCAUCUUUUUAAAAAACUCACCAGGUGCCAAAAGACCAUGUGAUUAUUGUUUCUUAAAAACUAAAAAUUCAAAUGUGAAAGAAAAAAUGGACUUUUGUUAAUAGGAAUUGAAACAGAAUCGGUACAAGCAGAAUUUAUUAAACUUGUCCUUGUCAACAUAGCUCUAGCCCCUUUGCCUUGUUAUAUAGAUGCACUUGGCUAUUCCCUGUCUGUAAUCCAUUCAUUGCUGGUUUGGAUUGCCAUAUUUUUAAUUAGAGCAGUAAAACCGCAUGAUGUUUGUAUUCGAUUUUACCACACCUACACAGUGUAUGCUCUCGUUCAAAGGAAUGAAUUCAUGGAUAUUGGAACUGGUAAUUUUCCGGUUCCCCCUUUACACCUAUAAAACUUAUCUGAUAAUCCUGCCCGUAAUUUGUGAGAGCUUGCAUGGGUAAUCCAUUAGAAGAGAUUGUUUCAAAGAAGUACUACAUAAAUAUUCUUACCUG